rnacentral:rRNA from 1 species
UAAGACGAACCGUGCGAACGUUAUUCGGAAUCACUGGGCUUAAAGGGCGCGUAGGCGGACUCGUUAGUCAGGGGUGAAAGCCCACGGCCCAACCGUGGAAGUGCCUUUGAUACUGCGAGUCUCGAGGGGGAUAGGGGCGUGCGGAACUCAGGGUGGAGCGGUGAAAUGCGUAGAUAUCCUGAGGAACACCGGUGGCGAAAGCGGCGCGCUGGAUCCCUUCUGACGCUGAGGCGCGAAAGCCAGGGGAGCAAACGGGAUUAGAUACCCCGGUAGUCCUGGCCCUAAACGUUGGGUACUAGGUAGCGGCCUGUCAUGGGGUCGCUGCCGGAGCAAAAGUGUUAAGUACCCCGCCUGGGGAGUAUGGUCGCAAGGCUG